CCACACUUUUGCCUGAGGAGGUUGAUGGUUGCAUGGACUAAGACGGUGUCUUGGUGGAAUUCCUGGGAAUUGACUCUGGCCAACAACAGCUUCUGGACAGCAACCUCCUACCCUUCUUCCAAGGGCAUUUUUGGUUACUGAAAACUGGGAGAGGAUUGGGGCAGAAAGAGGAUCUUGAUGGAGAGACAGUUGUAACAAAGGAAGAGCAGAAUCUCCAGGCAUAACCUCUAGUAGCUGGAGGAAGAGCUGAAGGGGAUACCUUGCUCACUGAGUGACACUUCAGCUGUCAUGAGCUAGAGAGGAAUCGCAGGGGCAAGGGAAUCUCUAUUACCUUCAGUGGAGUUACUCCUAUUUUGCAUCAGUGUGGAUGAAACCAGAAUUGGACCCCAUUUUUGCCUAAGGCUCCCAGAUGGAUCAUUUUCAUGCUCUGAUGCCUGAGGAGAGACCUACCAAAGUGG